GAUGAACGCUAGCGACAGGCUUAACACAUGCAAGUCGAGGGGCAGCACGGGAGUAGCAAUACAACUGGUGGCGACCGGCGCACGGGUGAGUAACGCGUAUGCAACCUACCUAUCAGAGGGGAAUAACCCGGCGAAAGUCGGACUAAUACCGCAUAAAACAGGGGCACCGCAUGGUGAUAUUUGUUAAAGAAAUUCGCUGAUAGAUGGGCAUGCGUUCCAUUAGGUAGUUGGUGAGGUACCGGCUCACCAAGCCGACGAUGGAUAGGGGAACUGAGAGGUUGGUCACCCACGUUGGGACUGAGACACGGAACAGACUCCUACGGGAGGCAGCAGUGAGGAAUAUUGGUCAAUGGGCGAGAGCCUGAACCAGCCAAGUGGCAUGAAGGAAGAAGGAUCUAUGGUUCGUAAACUUCUUUUGCAGGGGAAUAAAGUGCAGGACGUGUCCUGUUUUGUAUGUACCCUGAGAAUAAGGAUCGGCUAACUCCGUGCCAGCCGCCGCCGUAAAAC
rnacentral:rRNA from 1 species